rnacentral:miRNA from 1 species
UAAGACGAGCAAGUAGUGGGU